rnacentral:rRNA from 1 species
ACUCCUACGGGAGGCAGCAGUGGGGAAUUUUGGACAAUGGGCGAAAGCCUGAUCCAGCAAUGCCGCGUGAGUGAAGAAGGCCUUCGGGUUGUAAAGCUCUUUUGUCAGGGAAGAAACGGUGAAAGCUAAUAUCUUUUGCUAAUGACGGUACCUGAAGAAUAAGCACCGGCUAACUACGUGCCAGCAGCCGCGGUAAUACGUAGGGUGCAAGCGUUAAUCGGAAUUACUGGGCGUAAAGCGUGCGCAGGCGGUUUUGUAAGUCUGAUGUGAAAUCCCCGGGCUCAACCUGGGAAUUGCAUUGGAGACUGCAAGGCUAGAAUCUGGCAGAGGGGGGUAGAAUUCCACGUGUAGCAGUGAAAUGCGUAGAUAUGUGGAGGAACACCGAUGGCGAAGGCAGCCCCCUGGGUCAAGAUUGACGCUCAUGCACGAAAGCGUGGGGAGCAAACAGGAUUAGAAACCCUGGUAGUCCCAUGAU